CUCAAGCGUAAAGAAUGGACAGCAGAACAAGAGAAAACCCAAUUGAAUCCAUAACAGAACUAAAGAAAAGUAAAGUGGAAAGCAUCAUGGACUUGGCCAAAGUACGAACACCCCAGGAAUUGAAGGAAACUGGUAAUGGAAGGCAUAUAUUUUGAAUAGUUUUCUGUGCAGAUUUCAUUCAACAAGUGUGUAAAAUGUGUUAACACAGAAGCAGUCGACAAAGUGGCAGAUUCCGCGGGCACCAUAUCUGGGACAUCAUUGCCUAUCAUUUUCUGUUUGUUUACAUUUUGCGGCCAAGAAAAAUGUUGUUUCAUGAAUUCUUGACUGAAUUUGAUGACAAUGUUUUUUUCACAACAGUCUAAAAAUAUACCACAUUAUAGAGCGAAAAAGCCUUGCAAGGAUGUGUUUUUAGCUCCCAGGUCACUGAAACUAGUGAAAGUGUCGGGGCGCGAGCUAUGGAAAUGGGCUCAGUCCUUCAGUCCGUCCGUGCGUCCGUCUUGAUGUCUACAUA